CAACUUCCGCGAGAUUUGACAAAAUAUCAAAGAUGGCCGCAAGCAGAAAAACACAAAAAAGUCGUUCUCGUAGAAGAUUAGCUGCCAUCAGUUUCCUUUCCAAUAUUUCGUUGGAUGGAACUCACACAGACACAAAGUUUCCACUUUUUAACAGAAAACAUCACAGGUUAAAAGACGUAUGUGUAAAUGACUCGAAAUCUGCUGACGUUAGUCCCGAGGCUCAAAACAGUGCGUGUGUCAGAACAGAACGAUCGGCGUUUGACAACCAGGACGAAAACGUCAACGAUGAAAACGUAAACACACAGAACAGUCACAACAACCAUGUUGAUCGGGAUCAUAGACAAUCUGAGAAGGGACCUGAGUCGCCGUCAAAACGAUGGAGAGCCUCCUCCUGCUCUGAUGACCGAGACAAGUAUGUGAAGCGCAAGUUGAUGCCUUCCACCAGUAUCCCAUGGUCAACCCCCCAGGCCACAGCUCAUGACCCUGCUGAUAAGAUAGGAGAGCGUCUGGCUCGAAGGUCCAGCUCCAUGUCCGGCGACUCGGCAGAAUCCUCAGCCUUAAGAGAAGUGCGCUUCCUGUCUGGCAACUCGACAAGUUCCAUCAGGGGUGGACGUGUGGUGAUAGUGACUGGGAUGAAGGCGCCUGUCGCCAUGUGCUCUGUGGUGCCCUACAGGCGGUCAGCAAACAGAGGUGAAGGUCACAGUGAAGAAGGUCGCACACGGCACCACUCAGGUCACUCUGGGUCAAGGUCAGUGUCAUCUCAAGAUGGACUGCUGUAUGUAGGACUGCAAGCAAUAGUCAAGGUUGAAGAGGGUCAGGACGUGUCCUACAGUGAGUUUUUGGUUCCGUCCCGUCCUCUGGUAUUGAAGAGGACAUGUUCAGAAAUACCCCACUCUGAAUCGGUUCUUCUUCCCCCAGCUGCAGGCCGGGAGUACUUGCGGAGUCACUCACAUGACCCUAGCAUGUUUUUCCAGCGUUCGGGGCUGUUCUCUGCCCUGGAGAGAGUCCCGGAAGAGAACACGGACUUCUACGACCCCAACCUCCUGGACGACCCCGAGUUGCAGUCUGGGAGCUACAGGACUCUGAUGACUUUCCCCUCCUAUGUGACCUCUGUCAUUGAGUACGUCAAGCCCUCCAGCCUCAAGAAGGAGCUCAAUGAGAAAUUCAAGGACAAGUUCCCCAACAUUCAGCUCAGCCUCUCCAAACUGCGCAGCAUCAAGAGGGAAAUGAGGAACAUCUCUAUGGUCAAGUGUGGUGUUGAUAUGUGGACUCUGGCCCAAGCUCAUGUCUUUUUUGAAAAACUUAUUCUCAAGCCUGUCAUCAACAAGCAGAACCGGAAGCUUUGUGCAGCUGCUUGUCUGGUGCUGUCAGCGAAACUCAAUGAUGUCAAAGGGGCUGAGCUCACAAAACUCUUUGAGCAAAUAGAAGAUGACUUUCGACUGCAUCGCAAGGAGCUGAUGGCGUUUGAGUUUGCAUGUCUGGUUGCCCUGGAGUUCUCACUGCACAUCCCAGACAGCGAGGUGUACCCGCACUACCAGCGUCUGCUGUACCGCUCAUGACACUGGCCUCGGUGACCACCCUUAAACAAAUAGACACACAGGGAACGGGGGCUGGCAAAAACUCAAUGGACAGCCUCCAACAAUGAAUUUGUGUUGUCAAAACACAAAACUCAGUUCUUUUCCAAGUUAUAUACACUUGGAAAAAAGUUAAGCACCACACCUUCUUUAGUUUUAUAUAUCACAACCCUCUACAUGAUGUUAACAUCAUUUUGACUUCAAGCCUAGAACAAGAACACUCUAUGGUACUCAGGAAGAACGCAAGGACUGGUCAUAGUAUACGAUGCAAAGAACCUGAGGAAACAGUUAGAUGACUAGUCAGAUAGUUGUUACAAAACAUGUUAUUACAUGAUUGAUUUUGGUUUCUUGAAUUCAAUGUGUGUAACUUCUACACAAAAGGAUGUCUUGUCCAAAUAUAUAUACAGGAUAGGAUUUUAUGAAAUGGCUACUUUAUGUCGAUAUAUAUGGUUAGUGGUGCAAAAUUAUUUUCCAGGUAUAUAGAGUUAUCUGCCCUUUUGACUUUGGAAUCAAAUACAUCAGCAGGACACUAAAUACUGAUUCUUGUCUAUGACGUAUCAGUAUCUGAUUAAGCAAUUGAAAUCAUCUAUGCUUAAUUUUGUGUCGUAGAAUUUUUUUCUAGAAAUGCUGACAAAUAUUGCUACAUGAAAGUACAUAUGUCCGCUUCAGCAACUAUGAAAUGUUGUUGAAAAAGUCGAGAGUAUUUCCUGAGCUCCUUGCCCAGCCCUGUUGUGUCGCUCUGUGUCUAUCCUAUUGUCCGAAGUGGUCACCUUUGACCAGGCCCUGCUGUGGAGCCAGGCACAGCAAUAAGGGUCUGACAUCGAUCACAGACUCCGUGACCCCGGCUACUCAUCACCUCACCUAGAGGUCAUGUUGCUAAAGAACUGGUCAUUUAUGAUAGCAGUGGGUGGGCCGUCGAAAUUUGUCUUUAAGAUGGCUUCAUAUUUUCUGCAUCAUAUUUUUGUCAUUAUUUAGAUAAUGUUCAAAUUUAAAAAAAAAAUUGUUGAAAAAAUAGAACUAAUUUUUUCAUGACCACCCCCCACCCACACCCCCACCUCAAGUCUCUCUAACCCACCCCCCACACCUACAAUAAAUGACCAGCUCCUAAUUACAAAAUGUAAUGUAUCUGUCUGUCCCACCAGCAUAUGAUGCAGGUGGGGCUGUUGCGAUCAGUAGCAGUCAAAACUUGCCUACUAGUCUAUGAUCAAUGGUGUCUACCCUGCUGAACCUACUGGACCAAAGAUGAUUUUACAAGACUCUGGCUUUGGACUUCUGGAUGAAGUCAGAGACUACUGGAUCAGUCAGAGAUUACUGGAUCAGUCAGAGACUACUGGACAAGUCAGAGACUACUGGAUCAGUCACAGACAACUGGACAAGUCAGAGACUACUGGAUCAGUCACAGACAACUGGAGAAGUCAGAGACUUCUGUAAGACUGUGUUUCUGGAGUAUAUCUCCAAGACAGGUCAAUAUAUCUCCACCAAACUUUGCAUACAUAUCAACAUCAAGGUUAUUAUUAAGGAUAUCAAUGGAAAUUACAGCAAGUCGUAAUUUCUAAUAUUUUAAGAUUGCAAUUAUUAACUUGUUAGUGUGGGUAUCACGUGAGAUAUACGGAAAACUUACCAAACAUUGUUACGGUGUUACUGACAGUGCUUUGUUGCUGGAGGCGUCCCGUGAAGAUCUGGGUUAGAAAAGGUCGUAAUAGGUAACUAACAGGAUCAGGUGGUCAGGCACGCCGUCUUGGUUGAUGCAUGUGAUCGUAUCCCAAUUGCAUGGAUCGAUGCUCAUGAAAUCAAUCACAGGAUUGUCUGGUCCAGAUUUGAUUAUUUACAGAAAGCCAUCGUAUAGCUGGAAUAUUGCUGAGUGUGGCAUUAGACAACAAACUAACAUUGCUGGAGGUGCAAGGGUAGCCUUGUCAGAGGGCCCUAGUGUGGAUUCCUAGAAUUAUCCUGAUUCAGCUUGAAAGUAUGUGUACCUUGUCUUUGAGUGAGAGGACAGUAUAGCCAUACUUUGCGUAAGGUGAACGUAUCAUUUAACACACCCUAUUCUAGGCUCUGUAUCCUCUGUGUAAUGUCACACAAUAGUUGCACAGACUACAUGAAGAAAUAAAACAAGUAGUACUCUGGGAAUUUCUGGGGAGGAAAAAGACAGGAGUCUUUUUAAUGGUGUUGAUUUUUGCUGUAAAAAUAUGUACUGCCCUGCCAUCCUUCUUGGCAUUGAUGAGACGCUGUCACUCAAGUGUUGUUGCUGAUGCUAAUGCUGCCCAAACACCAAAUUGUUUUUUAGCUUUAUGACUUGUUAUGACUUGAACCCUUGCAGCAGUUUAUUGUAUGCUGACGUAUUAAUGGUCUCUGUGACAAGAUUCAAACGCCAGUUCUUUCUGCAUAUUGUUUGAUGAUGAAUGUACUGAUAUUAGCUAUAUUAAUGGAUGAUUUAUUUCAAUGCCUAGUGUCAAGAGUUAUGUCAGUUAGGCCUCAUUUACAUUUUGGCAUAGUUGACAGAAGUCAGAUUUUGGCUUUCUGAAAUAUUUCCGACAUGUCCUGUCAUCAGUACUUCCUGGGUUUGUAUAAACCUCUUUUCUCCAACACCCGUGAGUACAGAGGCUAUACAGUGUAGUGAUGGUCAAGUUUCAAGUCCAUGACACAAGGUUUUUUAGAACUCCUAAAGUCAACUGAGCCCCACCCUGGGCAUGUAUGCUAUGUGAAUCUUACCCUUGCCGCAUGUUGAAGACUGUGAGAGUAGAUGACGGCAAGGCUGUAGCACGUGUUGCACGGUAUAUAUUAUAAGUUGUAGCAGCCUCUGGCUCGUGGUAUAAAACCUAAUGAGGAGUGCAUAAAACCCCAUGUACCCCUAGUGAUCCUGUUAUAAUGAAGUUAUCUUACCGACAUGUCUUAACAUGACAUUGUAAAGGAAUUAAAACAAAUUCAAAAUAGAUAGAAAUCCGCUUUUGAUUGAGCCGAGGUUAGCUUGUGCUUUGUCACGUGACUUUCAUUGAGUCAGAAAAAGCUUUUUUCUUCGAAGUGAGGUGUGAGUGAUUUAUCCUGCCUCUCAGAAAUCCACUGGCAGACUGUGUUGCUCGUGGCAGACUAUAAGGGAUUUAUUCUCCUGCUGAGAAACUGAUUUCCCUCCAGGGCGGGAUACAUAGUAUUUUAUCAAGAUCACGUGGCCCAAUCAGAUCUCAUCAUUCUGACAUGGAGGUAUGAUAAUACCAUUUGUGGGAAGUAAUCUGAGCCCUCAUUGGUCAGAGCCCUGGAACCAUGCUGCGGUUUAAUUUGUUGGUUAAAAGUACCGGUAGUGACUGACACAUUUCAGCUGUAUGUCAUGGGUGACAGAGAAAUACUGUGUUUACAAACCCCAAGUAUUGAUGACACCCUGCAACUUGUUACAUGUAUUAGUUAAUUUAUUCAACUGUGUUUGUUGUUUGUUUUGGAAAACUCCCAAGAGUAACAAAGUGAAACAAAGUUUCACAAGUUGUGUUUUUUUCACUUAGAAUGUAGAAGAGUUUGAUAGGAAUAUCAUCGGUAGUGAAAUUGGUUUUAUUUUGUUUAGUUAAAAGUUUUUAUCUCGGGAAAAAGUCCUAAGAAGGACAAAGUGCAACAAAGUUAACAUAGUAAGCUAGAGUUUCACAAGUUGAACAUAUUCACUUAGAACAUAGAAGAGUUUGAUUGGAAUUUAGUUGGUAGUGAAAUUGGUAUUAUUUAGUUUAGUUAAAAGUGUUGCCGUCUCCUUCUGUUCUCCCUCCAGCAUCAAGCCAAGAUUGUUGUUUUAAUGUACCUGCCAUAUUUAUUUCUGUUACUGAGAUUACUUACUAUUUACGUUUACAGUGUUAUAUAUUGUUGUCAUACUUAGAUUGUGCUGUUGCACCUUGUGAUCUCACGUUACUGUAGGGCAACAGGGAGGGAGCUGACCUGGGGGAGGGGCAAGGGGGUCCUCAAGUGGAUGAUGUUUGGGAGAGGAGAGAUCCUUUCUCAUUAGACUUUAAUUAUGUAUUCUGGAAUAUCGAGAUGGAAUUUUGUAUUUUUUUGUGAUAUUUUGAGCUGGUUGAAUUUUUAGAUAUAUUGAAAUGUUAAACGAAAUAGAAAUAUGGAAUGGCAAAACAGUGUUUAAAAUUAAGCGCACAAUUCUCGGGGUCUUUGCCAUGGGCCUAAUGGUAAAGAUUAAAGGGGUUCUCAGAUUCAAAUAUUAUUGGAGCAAACUAUAAGGACCCCUUUAAUUUUGAAUAACUGCGUUAUUAAUGUUUUUGAAAGGUAUGUAUUAAUAACUGUCAUACCACAUCUUGACCAUACUGAAUAUUUUUUUGCAUUUAAUAUUUAAUUUUGUUUGCAAAUUUUUCUGAUGUGACUUUUCCAUGUCUGACUACAAAAGAUAUUGAGUCUUGUUAUAAUGUAUACUGCUGUUCCAAAUACUCGGCUAAAGAUGGCCCCCCCCUCUUGCCCUCCCCCUCCCUCCUGUGGACACAGGGGCCAUAACUCUGUACCGUGCGAUCUCACUUGAACACUAGUCACCUUGUGAAACCAGGCAAGACAGUCGCGCAACUCGACUAACAACCUCAGUGUUGUCACUUAUAUCAGGAAAACAAUUUUCCAUUAUUGACAGAGACCAAAUAAACUCAGGGGCAGAGCCAGGCGUUUGAGGAUGGCACACCAUCCAAACAUCCCUUCUAACAUCUUCCUGAGGCAAGGGAAUUAACUGACUAUAAAAGUCCAGUUUCCACCCUUGCCAAACUAGGCUAGAAUUAUGGAGUUAUAUUUCGGCUGGACUAACAAGUCUAUGCAUAGACCUAUUUCGCAUAACGAAAUCGACCUUCAGUUUGUAUUAUGCUGUGCAGAUAAUUGUCGAUUGCAGGAUUUGCAAAGCAUGUAUAUCCUCAACUCUGCGUGUGAUCACGUGAUUCGAUGCACUUUGCGAAGUAAGACCUGGUUCAUUUCAAUAUAGAUUUUGAUUAUCGAUCAGAUCGUCCUGACUGGGCAUCACCAUUUUGUUUGAAGCAAAUGCAAGUGAUAUGUGAAGUAGAAUCUGAUUGGUCAAUAGGAGGGACAUAGAAGGGACAUCACUCGUAAUAGCCACUGGUUGCGCUCUGAUCAAGCCCAGCAAUUCCAUCCCAGUACGGCAAGGGUGGAAACUGGACUUUUACGGUCAGUGAACUCACCUGCCUCGGGAAGAUGCCCUUCUAAGGGACACAACUCAUGCAGACUCAGUGUGCAGAAUAUCUUGUAUUGUCUUCCCUUGGUUCUGUCUGUCAAGGUUGCUUUAUGUUUACAAAUGAUAUGGAAUAUUACAGUGAAAUGUUGAGCCUGAAUAAUGGUUUUCUGUACAUGAAUCGCUCAUAAUAUUUCUGGGUCACAAGGUAUUGGCGGAACCAGAAGCAGCAGUAGAUCACUACAUAGAGCAUUAUCAUGGACCACUUCACCAGUGUCAGGACGUCAGGGUUCUGCCAUUGUAUAAUGGGUGUCAAACACGACAUGACAUCAUUACAGUUGUGUCAUUCACAAUCUUGGUAGGAUGUAAAACAAAUAUGAAUAUUAUUUGGUGUGUAUUACAUUUUCUAAAACAAGGCCAGACAUGGCUGGAUUCACUGUGUAGAUUUGCAUCCCUUUGGUGUGCCAGGAUCCUUGAUGCAACGAAAAUUCUCAUACAUGUAAAGGGGAGUCCUCCUCCUUCUCACUAGCAUUACAAUUUACACAGAUUAUGACAGUGUAUUGUGUAUUGUUGAACUUGACAGUGGGUACAAGAUAACAUGUUUGUAUCAUCCUAAGAACUUUUGUAGGUCUGUUAAAUUGCCCCUCUUGCAAAAUGCUGUAUCUGGCCUCGUUCCACAAAGCGCUCUUAGUGCUAGGGUGAUCCUAACAUAGACUUACAACAGUCGUAGUGCGAAGUUGAUCGUAACUCCCAUUCCAUAACAUAGACUUACAACAGUUGUAUCAGUAUCACUGAAGUGAUCGUAACUCCCACACAUUAUUAUAGACUUCCGACAGUCGUAGCUCUAAGGUUGCUUUGUUGAACUGGGCCCAGGGCAUUAAUUGGUUCAAUACGGUGUAUGUGUUGAUUUGCCAUCAAUAUUAUUUUGUGUCUUUCUAAUCUCCAUGCUCAGCUACAUUCUGUAAAUGAUCGGCCAUUUCCCUGAAAAUUUGCUGUAAUAGAAAGGUGUGAGGUUGGCCGACAGGCUCAACUUUAGGGGCAUCAGAAAGUAUAAUGAUACAAUAAUAUCAUUUUAUUAAACAUACCACUGUCUCAAGAAUUUUAAACAUUUUCCAAAAGUGAAUGACCGGGAUGGUUAAAUUAAUAAGGACCACAGGAGACGAGAAACACACAAACCUACCAAUGACCUUGAGCGAGACCUUAGAAGUUCUUGAAGGUUAAUGAAUACAUAUACAUCAUCAUCAUAGAUUGUUACCCUUCUGUAUGUGUGACGUUGGGACUGGGUAUCGGUGAAGUUAGACGCGAUGUAUUCGGAUACAUCAACGUGCAUCAUGUAUUGACAAUGUAUGAAGGACGGAAUCAACAUGUGACUUGAUUCGGACUUCAUGGAAACUCAUGUCAUGUUUAACCUCCAUUAAGAUGACCAACAAGUACACAGAAGUGUGUACUUGUGAUGUUUCAUUACCUUUUAACCAUUCGGAGUAUUUGUCCGGUGAGCGAAAGACAACUACCUGUUUGUAGGCGUUGACGAAUACACAGAUUUACUGUAUGUUCUGUAGCUUACACAGGCUGUGUAUCAUACCUUUCUUGAUUUAUCAUCAUACUGUGCUGUGAAUAUGUAUGUACAUAGUCAAGAUUGGCACUAUCUCAUAGCCCUCGUAUAUAGCAUUGUACUACUGUGCCCAAGUCAAGGGAAAAUGCAGUCUCAUUUUCAGAUCUUUUCUCCGAUACGCAUCCUAUCCGCAUGAAGACACUUCGCAUCAGGUAACUUUCCAAUCAGCUAAUCAGCACUGAGGCUUCAUAAUUCUUGGUAUGAGUGAGAGAAGCAUUCAAACAUAUCUGAAUUCUGUAUUUCGAAAACGAGUAUGAUUGGGAAGUUCUGAAUACAAAUAAAUUUUUGUUAUGGUAAUAUAUUGUUCUGGAUAUUUUUCUAUAUCCUGUUGUUUCUGAGUAUUAUGGCAUCUACACCCAAAAGGGGUAUUUUUGUGGGGGUUGCCUUAGGCUAAGAUCCAUUUAUGCACUGAGGUAGUAAGGAAAUGAAGCCAAAUUGUUUUUGGAAGCCGACAUCUGAUUGGAUGAAGAGCCCACACAGAUCAGUCAAAAGAUUGCUCAGGGUUCAUCUGAUGGGAUCUCCUAUGGAGGUAUGCUCAGAUGUUUAUGCGGAGGGGUAUUGUAUCGGAGUAAAAGAUCUAAAUUUUACUAGACUGGUCAAAAUGUGACAUUUCUGUGCAUGAUAUGAUUGUCUUUUUUAUUCAAUGGAGGAAAUUACAAUCUGACAUUUAAUUGAUGGUUAUAAGCCUUUGCUGCAAAAUCGUACUGAUGAAAUGCAAAAUAAAUAUAAAUCCAAAAGCUACAAUUUGUCUUAAAUGGCAUGAAAGUCUGUUUGUCUGUACCAACUCGUCACCAUAAUUUCAGACAUUGUCAUGAAGUAGAGAAAAAAUUGUUUCACUAACUAUCAUUAAUUGUUGGUGUUUUAAGCAUGUUGUUACAAGGGGGUCUGCGCAAUAAACAUAACAGCUGAAGGGCAUCACGGAACACAGGGAUAGUCUCAAAACUUGUAUUCUGAAUUAUUUUCAUUGUCACUGUCAACAAAAUAAUAAUUUGACCGACAGCUGCGUGAUCUAAUCCAUCUCAUUUACAAUAUGAACCAUUAAUUUUGGUCUCAACUUUGUCAAUGCACCCCGUCUGAUGUGAAUUACCAAGGUUAUCAAAUCAUCUGUGAAUUUCAUCAUGUACCAUAUUGUAAUGAUAUAUUGAGCUUGUUUCUGUUUAUUUUAUUAUUUGCAUUUGAAAUUAGAUGAAUAGCAAUACCAAGAACAUCACUAACAUUGAUUUGAGAAUAGUUUACAGAUUCUUCUUGUAUAUUCUGUUUAAUAACUAAUACAGAAACAUAUGCUUCUGAUUUAGGCUUUUCUUUUGACAUGAUUUUAUGACAAAAAAGUAGUAGGUUGGCCUAACACUCUCGAAUGUAGGGCUGUUCUGUUUACAGUGCAGACCCCCUUGUAACAACAGGCAUUAAAAUACCAACAAUUACAUGAGAGCUUCUAAAACAACUUUUUCUACCCUUCAUGACAAUGUCUGAAAUUAUGGUGAUGAAUAGGUACGGACAAAUAAAAAACUUUCAUGCCAUUUAAGACAAAUCGUUGCUUUCAGAUAUACAUAUACUCACCAACAAAAGAAAUGCACAUACCAUACAUGUUGGUUAAUGUAUGAAGAAUUACUCAUCUUCAAGAGAUAUUAGAUUGAUUUGACGCACAAAUGAACUGGUAUGUUUAGUGAACCGACAGUCAUGAACACAUCACAUGAGACGUCAUAGAUCCAUGACUGAAGAUGCACCAUUUGUCCUGAGCAGGAUUUAAAAUUUGGAAAUCACCUGCAGCAUAUAAGAAUAAAGACACGCUGUGGUAACACUUGACUGAUUGUUAGUUUUGUCAUUAGUGGUACACAUUGGAAACAUUUCUUCUAAACGUACACACUUCUCUCUAUGUUCCUAUGGUUUAGUUUCUUUUGGCGGUGAGUAUAUUUUGUAUUUCAUCAGUGUGAUUUUGCAGCAAACAAAAAUGGCUAUCACAAAUGUCUCGUCACUGUGUGACGACAAUACAUGGUUAUGUUGUUGUUGUGAUUGAUUGUCAGCCAUUACACCAUUGCUUGUUUCGUCAUGAUACAGGUGUUUUGUUGAUUUCAAUGUUUUACAGUGAUUAUUACUGAAAUCAUCUGAUACUGAAAUAUCAUUUACAAGAUGUCUGUUGAUUAAAACCAUAUCAUAUCCGAGAAUAUAUAAACAAAUGAUAAAUAUUUUAGCUAUUUUUCAAAGCAUCGUACAUGUCCGGCAUUCUGGUCUGUUGUAUUCAAGAUAAGAAUCAGCUACACAAUGCCAACUGAAAUUAAAAUUGAAUAUCAGGGAUGGACGUUAUCAUGGAAAAUCAAGCCUAAAAAUGCUGAAUGGAGAUAGCGUGUAGAAAAAUACUUAAUACCCUAAAGAAAUUUGUUAUGCAAAUUUCCUGGUACAUCUGGAGAUGAGGAAGCUAGUUUUGGACAGUCCUCAUUUCUAUCCCUGAAAUUGAAUUGAUUUUUGAAAAUUUCAGUUGUUUUACCUUUUUGUUAUUGUAAUCUGUAAACAUUUCAUCAGAAAGUGUGGUUACAUGGUCCUGUAUUCCCAUGAGAUGUGUCAUGUGUGGGAUGUCAUAUUUGUGCGAGAAAUGUCGUGAGAGGUGUGUCACAUGUCAUGUGUCACGUGUGUCAUGUGUCCGAGAGGUGUGAUGAUGCUAUGCCAAUGUGUGCUGAGCAGUGUGUGGAUUCGUCUCAAAAUGUUACUACCAGCUUAAUGUUCUGGCCAGUUUUAAGUUUCAUUACAAAUUUGUUUUCCAGAAAUUUGAUUCUGCGAAGGUAUCAAUAAAGUCAGAUAUUAUGAAGAAGGGUAACUUAUCUUGCAACCUUCAUUCGUUGCUGAUACAGUGUAUUAAUUUGAUUUUUUAGUUUUAAUGCUUGUAAUGAUCUUCAGUAACCUUUUUAUUUUGAUCAACUAAGAGGUGCCCAAAACCAACCAGGCAAGGGACAUUUCAGAAUCUUUAGACCAACUGAAUUUUUGCUAGUGACAGGCUGGUGGGCAGCGGCUAUUUCGCACAUGUCGGGAGUAUCAGGACAAGAGUCUGUGUGUGGGUUUGUUGAUACAAGAAAGCCAGGAGUGAUAUCUUGGACCAACAUAAAUGUUUAUUUUACUACAGACGAAGUUGUUAUAUCAAGAAUUUACUUAAUAUUUCUACAAUUCAAAACAUGCAGAUUGUAGACAGCUGUACUUUUUAUGUCUACAUCACUUCCAUCAAUCACAUUAAUAUUUCAAACAUAAUUGGUGUUGCUUUCAAGACAUUGCAUCGUUAGUUGGUGAAUUACCAAGAUUUUGCUUUUACCAGCUUGGUUAUUCUCAUAAACUUUCUCUGAUUUGAAAGAACAUAAAAACAUUUUCCUUGGUUCGUUAUAUGACUUUUUGUAAUGGGCUGAGUUGAGUAGCCGUGAUACAUGUAUGUCCUACUUAUAUGAACUUGUCUUGCAUGUCGUUGCUGGUAUAAUACCAUUGAAGUGGGAGGCCGAGGCCGAGGCUGGUGAGAGGCUUCUGUAUAAUACCAUUGAAGUGGGAGGCCGAGGCCGAGGCUGGUGAGAGGCUUCUGUAUAGGGCAUUGUGUUGUACAUAGCAAACGUGACUGUACAAUCAUCUGUGAUAUGCUUUUAACAGAAAAAAAUAAAAGUGUUGAAAUACU
rnacentral:misc_RNA from 1 species